UGGGGUUGAGCAAGAGAGCAUAGAGGAGACAACAGAGCCUUCACAAGAAGAAAAGCCUUUAGUGUAAACAUGGAGAGAGUAGUCUCACCUUCCUGGUGUCUGGCAGAGUGAGAGAGAGAGAGAGAGAGAGAGAGAGAGAGAGAGAGAGAGAGAGAGAGAGAGAGAGAGAGAGAGGACUGGGGAAAUGUUGACGUUUCUAAGGGCCAUCAGAAACCGCGCCGAGCUCUAACAGCACAGACGAAUGUGGGAAACGUGUGAUUUUAACUUCAGCUUAUGAUGUGACCAAAGAGAGCUUGGCAGAGCUGCCGUUCCCUCGCAGGGGCCGCGUGACCACGAACACGCCAGCGUCAGUGGUACGGCCUGCUGUGUGCAGGGGGACUCACGUGUAUUAUUCAUAACCACGUCCCCCCUGGGACAGCAUACACCUGCACAGGAUUUAGUGUUCGGUGUUUGUAUGUAUUUAAACCCCUGUCAGUGUGUGCUCCCUUGCUGGUCAUUGUCGCUACGUUUGUGUUAAUGUCUAUCUCUGUAACGUUAGUGUGUGUAGUCCCUUGUUAAAGUGUAUGUGUUCUUCAUUUAAUGUUAAAUGUAUAGUCAUGUGUACUGUAGAUGU